rnacentral:rRNA from 1 species
UACGAAGGGGGCUAGCGUUGCUCGGAAUCACUGGGCGUAAAGAGCUCGUAGGCGGUCUGUCGCGUCGGCUGUGAAAACCCGGGGCUCAACCCCGGGCCUGCAGUCGAUACGGGCAGACUAGAGUGCGGUAGGGGAGACUGGAAUUCCUGGUGUAGCGGUGAAAUGCGCAGAUAUCAGGAGGAACACCGGUGGCGAAGGCGGGUCUCUGGGCCGUAACUGACGCUGAGGAGCGAAAGCGUGGGGAGCGAACAGG